rnacentral:lncRNA from 12 species
UUUUUCCCCCCCGCUGGAAUAGCAGCAGAAGGAGUUUUUCCGUUUCUUCCCCCCUUCUCCUGUCUCCUCGCUUUUUCCUGGUUUUUUUGGGAGGGCAGCGUUGAUGUCCCCUCUGCUUGCUGGAGCUGUGACAGGAGUUUGGGUGGGAAUCGGGAUGAGGUUUCACACCCAGAAGGUGGCCGGGCACUGGGCAGGUUCCCCAGGGAAUGAUCCCAACCCCAAACCUCAAUAAUUCCUGCUCAGGGUGGGAUUUUUGGGUCAGGACUGGACUCGAGCCUUGUGAGUCCCUUCCAGCUCAGGAUAUUCUGAGAUUCCAUCAGAUGGGGCUGGUGGAAGUGUGGAAAAUGUCCCAGGAGAGGACAGCUCACACUGCAGGCCCACAGUGCUGCAGACCCCUGUCCAAAACCAAAAUCAGAUUAAAUGCACACCAGAGAAGGAAAACCAACAAAAUCCAGCCCUGUCUCUUAAAUAAAUGCUUUGAAGAUGUUUGCUGUAUCAACCCCUUCUCUACCAGUGCCAUCAAACACCUGAGCAUCACUGCUGGCAGCCCUGAUGUCACACCCAGGUGACAAUCCCAGCUCCUUUGGUGCUCGUUUUCCCCAGAGCAGUGAUGUCACCUCCAGCCCCACACCCAGGGCCACACCAGGGUGUCCCAGCCCUCUCCUCUCUCCCUGCACAGCCUCAAGGCCAUCAUCAUCCACAGGGGGGAAAAAAAAACCCAAAAACACUUCCAAGACCUGAGUUCCCACCCUCUGCCUGCAAUCCCUUGGUGGUUUUGGUCAGCCAGGUGCCAUGCCAGGACAGUGGAGGAGCUGGGGAUGGCUCAUCCUGCCCCUGAAUUUGGCUGUUGGGUGGAAGAACCAGCACCACGAUGGGUUUUAGCCAUAACCCCUUGACCUGGUGCAAUGAGAGCCACUUGGGUGGAUGAUCAACAUCAAACACAUCAAAAUCUAAAAGGACAGGAGGCCAAAC